AGUGAACGCUGGCGGUAGGCCUAACACAUGCAAGUCGAACGGCAGCACAGUAAGAGCUUGCUCUUACGGGUGGCGAGUGGCGGACGGGUGAGGAAUACAUCGGAAUCUACUUUUUCGUGGGGGAUAACGUAGGGAAACUUACGCUAAUACCGCAUACGACCUACGGGUGAAAGCAUGGGAUCUUCGGACCUUGCGCGAUUGAAUGAGCCGAUGUCGGAUUAGCUAGUUGGCGGGGUAAAGGCCCACCAAGGCGACGAUCCGUAGCUGGUCUGAGAGGAGGAUCACCCACACGGGAAGUGGACCACGGUCCAGACUCCUACGGGAGGCAGCAGUGGGGAAUAUUGGACAAUGGGCGCAAGCCUGAUCCAGCCAUACCGCGUGGGUGAAGAAGGCCUUCGGGUUGUAAAGACCUUUUGUUGGGAAAGAAAAGCAGCAGGUUAAUACCCCGCUGUUCUGACGGUACCCAAAGAAUAAGCACCGGCUAACUUCGUG
rnacentral:rRNA from 1 species